CCAGUCCAUACAAACCAAAUUAACCCAAAAUUAAAAUUAAAAUCAAACCACUUCUUUUCCACCACAGAAAACCUGCAAUAAGAACAUAGUAGCACUGAUCGAUUAGGCAAAACCACCAUGCACUCCAAAUCCACCAAGUCCACCGAAGUUGUGAAAGAAGGCCAAAAGUGCAUAGCGAUGACCUCAACAAUAGAAAGUAAGAUAAAAGAAGCAAAGGAGGGCAAAAGCUCUACAGCAACGAGAGAUUUCAAGCCAUGGACCGAUAGAAGACCGAGCCAUAUAUAAAAGGAGAUGUGAC
rnacentral:lncRNA from 1 species